GCGGCAGUAGCCUAACGGUUAUCGCACUUGCCUCCCACGCAAGGGCCAGGGUUCGAUUCCUGGCUGCGGCU
rnacentral:tRNA from 1 species